GAUGAACGCUGGCGGCGUGCCUAAUACAUGCCAGUCGAGCGAACGGACGAGAAGCUUGCUUCUCUGAUGUUAGCGGCAGACGGGUGAGUAACACGUGGAUAACCUACCUAUAAGACUGGGAUAACUUCGGGAAACCGGAGCUAAUACCGGAUAAUAUUUUGAACCGCAUGGUUCAAAAGUGAAAGACGGUCUUGCUGUCACUUAUAGAUGGAUCCGCGCUGCAUUAGCUAGUUGGUAAGGUAACGGCUUACCAAGGCAACGAUGCAUAGCCGACCUGAGAGGGUGAUCGGCCACACUGGAACUGAGACACGGUCCCGACUCCUACGGGAGGCAGCAGUAGGGAAUCUUCCGCAAUGGGCGAAAGCCUGACGGAGCAACGCCGCGUGAGUGAUGAAGGUCUUCGGAUCGUAAAACUCUGUUAUUAGGGAAGAACAUAUGUGUAAGUAACUGUGCACAUCUUGACGGUACCUAAUCAGAAAGCCACGGCUAACUACGUG
rnacentral:rRNA from 1 species